CGGUAAUACGUAGGGCGCAAGCGUUGUCCGGAAUUAUUGGGCGUAAAGAGCUCGUAGGCGGCUUGUCACGUCGGAUGUGAAAGCCCGGGGCUUAACCCCGGGUCUGCAUUCGAUACGGGCAGGCUAGAGUGUGGUAGGGGAGAUCGGAAUUCCUGGUGUAGCGGUGAAAUGCGCAGAUAUCAGGAGGAACACCGGUGGCGAAGGCGGAUCUCUGGGCCAUUACUGACGCUGAGGAGCGAAAGCGUGGGGAGCGAACAGGAUUAGAUACCCUGGUAGUCCACGCCGUAAACGUUGGGAACUAGGUGUUGGCGACAUUCCACGUCGUCGGUGCCGCAGCUAACGCAUUAAGUUCCCCGCCUGGGGAGUACGGCCGCAAGGCUAAAACUCAAAGGAAUUGACGGGGGCCCGCACAAGCAGCGGAGCAUGUGGCUUAAUUCGACGCAACGCGAAGAACCUUACCAAGGCUUGACAUAUACCGGAAACACCUAGAGAUAGGUGCCCCCUUGUGGUCGGUAUACAGGUGGUGCAUGGCUGUCGUCAGCUCGUGUCG
rnacentral:rRNA from 1 species